AAACCCAGAACAGCCUGGCUGAGCUCAGCCUAAUUCUGUGACUUUCAGGAUGAGUAACAAAAUAAAUGAUUCUUAUUUUAAGCCAAAAUUUUGGAGAGCAAUCUUCCUCUUGUCAAUGUCUAUCUCAGUGCUAUUUCAGACUCCUUUCAUACUGUCAAAUCUCACUCAACUUUUAGCAUCUAUUUCAAUUGGCAUCUCUUCCAAGAAGAUUUUUCUAAUUUCUUCAAGUGAUGUGUUAUCUCCCCUAUAAUUGAACCCCAUUUUGAUAUUUGUGUCCUGUUUUAGUUUUUUUUUAACUUGUUUUCUAUUAGAGGUGUUAGUGUCCUACUCAUCUUGCUUUUCCUACAGCUAGUAAGUGGACAUCCAGGAGGCAUAAGGAUAUAUCCCAGACCUGGCCAGUCAUGCCACCAUUUCCCAUAAUAAUCUCCUUAAGAAGUGAGCACCAGACCCAAGUCAUUCAGAGACUACCUGUAAGAUAUAGGCACUGAGGGAAAGAGUCUGGUUUUUCUUUUAGAUGAAGAGCUAUAAGAAUGGAAUUGAGACUAGGAGAGGAACAUCCAAAGGAGAGAAAAUGACUGCAGUGGGAGAGAACAAGAGCUACGAUCAAAAAGAGGACAGACAAGUAGCACUGAGGAAGACAGAAGGGUAAGAAGAGAUGGUGUCAGAAGUGGGAUCCAAAGAAAAGCUUCCAGUGACCCCCAGGAGCACUGAGUGACCAAGCAAGACCUCAACGAUUUAUCUGUCAUUAAUGCCACUGGUCACUGGCCCAUGUUUCCAGAAGCAAGAUUGAAAAGAGGAAGAGGUAUGUUACUGGGGGGGUCUCUAAUCCCUCACCUGGACUAUUCUAAG